AGUCCUGUAGCUCAGUGGUUAGAGCGCUCACCUGUCAAGCGAGAGACCUGGGUUCGAUUCCCGGCAAGACGA
rnacentral:tRNA from 1 species